rnacentral:snoRNA from 2 species
UGCUAAUGAUGAAUAAUUUUCAUACCAUCUUUCGGCUGAUAACAAUUGAUGAAUACUUUUUUCUGACUGCA